ACUAUAUAAGCAUAAGCACAUGCAUUUGAUUUCGGCUCAAAAGAAUAUUUAUAAAAUGGUG
rnacentral:tRNA from 1 species